CGGGGCGUAGCGCAGCCUGGUAGGCAUCUGCCUGGGGGGCAGAGGGUCGUCGGUUCGAAUCCGGCCGUCCCGACCA
rnacentral:tRNA from 1 species